rnacentral:rRNA from 1 species
AUUGAACGCUGGCGGAAUGCUUUACACAUGCAAGUCGAACGGUAGAGGGGGCAACCCCUCGAGAGUGGCGAACGGGUGAGUAAUAUAUCGGAACGUGCCCAGUCGUGGGGGAUAACGUAGCGAAAGUUACGCUAAUACCGCAUACGAUCUAAGGAUGAAAGCGGGGGAUCGCAAGACCUCGCGCGAUUGGAGCGGCCGAUAUCAGAUUAGGUAGUUGGUGGGGUAAAGGCUCACCAAGCCAACGAUCUGUAGCUGGUCUGAGAGGACGACCAGCCACACUGGAACUGAGACACGGUCCAGACUCCUACGGGAGGCAGCAGUGGGGAAUUUUGGACAAUGGACGCAAGUCUGACCCAGCCAUUCCGCGUGCAGGAUGAAGGCCCUCGGGUUGCAAACUGCUUUUGUACGGAACGAAAAGGUCUCUCUUAAUACGGGGGGCUCAUGACGGUACCGUAAGAAUAAGCACCGGCUAACUACGUGCCAGCAGCCGCCGUAA